GAAGAGGUGUAGACCAGACACAUUGUCUUACAAUAAUCUGAUUGAGCAGUUGUGCAAAAACGACUUGUUGGGUGAGGCUGAGGACCUUUAUAAGGAUAUGGGAGAGAAGGGAGUCAGCCCCGAUGAGUUCACAUUCGUUUUGUUGAUGGAUACUUGCUUUAAAGAAAAUAGGCCUGAUGAUGCUGCCAUGUAUUUUAAGACUAUGGUUGAUGCUUGGUCAGCCCCGAUGAGUUCACGUUUGUAUUGUUGAUGGAUACUUGCUUUAAAGAAAAUAGGCCUGAUGAUGCUGCCGCGUAUUUUAAGACUAUGGUUGAUGCUAAAUUGAGGCCUAAUCUUGGGGUUUAUAAUAGGUUGAUUGAUGGGUU
rnacentral:lncRNA from 1 species